rnacentral:misc_RNA from 1 species
UUGGCUACGCGAGCGCAUGAGUUGUGCUGGACCUGUGACUGNUGAGAGGACCCCCGCCGUUGUGCGGCCGACUCUCGGCGCCUGCGUCUCUUCAAUCUUUGGCUACCUAGCCCUACUCGUCUGACGAGUGCUUGCAUGAUGCUACCAGCUUGAUGGAAGUUGGGUUCGAAACAUGUUGCCUUCGUCGUGCCCGUCUGUUGGGCGUGGCACGACGACUCAAUGGUGUCCACGGCGUUGCCUCAUGUAGCUAGCCAUCCGAGCCGGCUUCAUCAAGGCCACCUCGUGUAUGCUCUUGGUCCCGGAUGUGGCUGAUGAUAAAGGCCGAAGGCGCUCUGGCGUCGCGUGCCUAGCAAACAUGGUCCCAUUGGAAACAACGACAGCUGGCCCGGCGAACGCCUCGUGCAGAAGCUGGUGCUGGUUCGUCGAUGAGGACGUGCUACCUGGUUGAUCCUGCCAGUAGUCAUAUGCUUGUCU